AAGUCGUAACAAGGUUUCCGUAGGUGAACCUGCGGAAGGAUCAUUCAUAAUAAGUGUUUUAUGACACUUUUUAAAUCCAUAUCCACCUUGUGUGCAAUGUUAAGAGGAACAACUAGAGAGAUCGUAAAAAAAUCUCUGUUCUUGUUCUUUUUCUAUAACAAACUCAUUUUUUUAACAUAUCGUCUGAAAACUAUUAUGAAUACUUAAUUCAAAAUACAACUUUCAACAACGGAUCUCUUGGCUCUC
rnacentral:misc_RNA from 1 species